rnacentral:rRNA from 1 species
CCACAUUGGGACUGAGACACGGCCCAGACUCCUACGGGAGGCAGCAGUGGGGAAUAUUGCACAAUGGGGGAAACCCUGAUGCAGCGACGCCGCGUGGAGGAAGAAGGUCUUCGGAUUGUAAACUCCUGUUGUUGAGGAAGAUAAUGACGGUACUCAACAAGGAAGUGACGGCUAACUACGUGCCAGCAGCCGCGGUAAAACGUAGGUCACAAGCGUUGUCCGGAAUUACUGGGUGUAAAGGGAGCGCAGGCGGGAAGACAAGUUGGAAGUGAAAUCUAUGGGCUCAACCCAUAAACUGCUUUCAAAACUGUUUUUCUUGAGUAGUGCAGAGGUAGGCGGAAUUCCCGGUGUAGCGGUGGAAUGCGUAGAUAUCGGGAGGAACACCAGUGGCGAAGGCGGCCUACUGGGCACCAACUGACGCUGAGGCUCGAAAGUGUGGGUAGCAAACAGGAUUAGAUACCCUGGUAGUCCACACCGUAAACGAUGAUUACUAGGUGUUGGAGGAUUGACCCCUUCAGUGCCGCAGUUAACACAAUAAGUAAUCCACCUGGGGAGUACGACCGCAAGGUUGAAACUCAAAGGAAUUGACGGGGGCCCGCACAAGCGGUGGAGUAUGUGGUUUAAUUCGACGCAACGCGAAGAACCUUACCAGGUCUUGACAUUGAUCGCUAUUCCAAGAAAUUGGAAGUUCCUCUUCGGAGGACGAGAAAACAGGUGGUGCACGGCUGUCGUCAGCUCGUGUCGUGAGAUGUUGGGUUAAGUCCCGCAACGAGCGCAACCCUUACUGUCAGUUACUACGCAAGAGGACUCUGGCAGGACUGCCGUUGACAAAACGGAGGAAGGUGGGGAUGACGUCAAAUCAUCAUGCCCU